rnacentral:rRNA from 1 species
CAGUAGCCACGGUAAUACAGAGGGUGCGAGCGUUAAUCGGAUUUACUGGGCGUAAAGCGUGCGUAGGCGGCUUUUUAAGUCGGAUGUGAAAUCCCUGAGCUUAACUUAGGAAUUGCAUUCGAUACUGGGAAGCUAGAGUAUGGGAGAGGAUGGUAGAAUUCCAGGUGUAGCGGUGAAAUGCGUAGAGAUCUGGAGGAAUACCGAUGGCGAAGGCAGCCAUCUGGCCUAAUACUGACGCUGAGGUACGAAAGCAUGGGGAGCAAACAGGAUUAGAUACCCGCGUAGUCCCUGUCCUUAUACA